AAGUCGUAACAAGGUCUCCGUAGGUGAACCUGCGGAGGGAUCAUUAACACGUAUCCAAACGUUCAACAAACCCCAAACGGUCUCCUAUUAGACCCACGAGAACGGCGUCUGUCAGCCAUAGGUGAGGCUCAUUCUUCGCAAGGAGGAUGGGUCGCUACGACAGACUAUUUAUUGCUCAAAAGGGCUACCGCACAUCGUGGUGUAUGAAGUUCACCUGGCUGCUAGUGCCACCUCAGCGUGUCCACAUUUCGGUGUGGGCUAAUCUGAAGCCUAGUGUGCCUUAUUGUACCCCAUUUUAACCCCUUUUUUUAUAACUACUGAACUACUUCUGUUGAGACUUCGGUCUUGAUGGAGUACUACGAAACAACGCACAACUCUUAGCAACGGAUAUCUUGGUUCUC
rnacentral:misc_RNA from 1 species